rnacentral:tRNA from 1 species
AAAAUAAGAUGGUUCAAGGGUAAGCUGCUAACUUUUCCUUUUAGCAGUUCAAUUCUGUUAUUAUUUUU